GGUUAUCCCUGGAGUUGGAGAUUUCACCGGCGGAGGAGCCUAGGCCGAUUCCGGUGGUCGUCUUGCUGUUCUGGUGAUUCUGCGAGGCCGGUGCAGUGAGGGUGGGAGGAUGGAGUCGGCUUUUUGGGUAGGGUUUCGCUCGGAGUCGUUUUUUACCUUUUUAGAUCUCGGACGAUCUCCAUUGAUUGACGGCGCGUGGCUUUGUUUGGUGGUACUUCCGGCCUGGAUCUGCUCGUCUACCAGCUUUUGAUGCUUUAUGUUGUCCCGGCGGUGUGGCACGGCGGCGCGUGUAUUUCACGUUCGCGCGAGGCGUCUCGACGAUCGGAGUUCUCGAUGUCCGUUGUGCAGAAGGUACGGAGAGGAUCAUCCUCAAUGACGCGUUUGAGUGCCU
rnacentral:lncRNA from 1 species